rnacentral:rRNA from 1 species
GACGAACGCUGGCGGCGUGCCUAAUACAUGCAAGUUGAGCGCUGAAGGUUGGUACUUGUACCAACUGGAUGAGCAGCGAACGGGUGAGUAACGCGUGGGGAAUCUGCCUUUGAGCGGGGGACAACAUUUGGAAACGAAUGCUAAUACCGCAUAAAAACUUUAAACACAAGUUUUAAGUUUGAAAGAUGCAAUUGCAUCACUCAAAGAUGAUCCCGCGUUGUAUUAGCUAGUUGGUGAGGUAAAGGCUCACCAAGGCGAUGAUACAUAGCCGACCUGAGAGGGUGAUCGGCCACAUUGGGACUGAGACACGGCCCAAACUCCUACGGGAGGCAGCAGUAGGGAAUCUUCGGCAAUGGACGAAAGUCUGACCGAGCAACGCCGCGUGAAUGAAGAAGGUUUUCGGAUCGUAAAACUCUGUUGGUAGAGAAGAACGUUGGUGAGAGUGGAAAGCUCAUCAAGUGACGGUAACUACCCAGAAAGGGACGGCUAACUACGUG